UGGACCUUAAUAGUUACUGAUUCAGUUUGGAAUUAGGUUUCUUGCAGAUAUUCAAUAGAAUCGAACACUGAUAGUCAAUCUUAUUAGAUUUAAGACAUAUUAAAACAGGUUCUCGUAAUAUUUUGUUUGUUGAGAUUGUUGAUGGUGUUUUGCAUAUUCUUGUUCAUAAAGACUUUUAAAGAUUUUAACCUUUUCAUUGUCAGGUUCUUGUGAUAAAUCUUUUCAGUUUUCAGGUUUCGGAGCUAUAUAUAACAGGUUCUACAACAUUUCGUCAUUCAAGCAAAGAAACUGUUAGUUAAAUGGAAGGUAAAGGACUCAUAUGCGGCCUCCCCGCUAAGAACGUUGUACCAAAAUUCAGACAACAAAUACAACAACAAGCAAAGAACGAUCAACAAACCGAUGCGGAUGAUGAACUGAAGGAGAUAACAAAGAUAGACUUUAGACGGGCUUGUGCUCACCGAGGGUACUUAAUACGCAUCGAAGAAGACAUUGAUACACGCAUGGAACUAGAGGAAGAAGACAUUGAGGCAAUAAGAAAGCUAUGUGCGAGGAACAACACUGAUAAGAAACGUCCAAGAGAGGAGAAAGGAGAGUCCUCAUACUGCAAGACUGGUUGAAUAAUAAUGGCAUGGUAACAACUCUUAGAGUUCAUGUUUUUGUAAUUAAUGUUUAGUUAGUUCAUGUUAUCUUUAAACUUUGUUAAGUUAACUUUAUGUAAUAUGAUAUUUUAUGAUUCAUGGUCUUUCAUAAAUAAAAGCUAAUUACAUUUUGUGCAA